AUAAGUAAAUGUUUAAUAGUUCAUAGUUUGAGAAAGAAGAAACAAUAUUCCACAGAGACAACAGCCCAUGUAAAAGCACAUGCAAUGAAGCAUUUAAGCAUGGGGAUAAUAUGGGCAGCUAGAAGAAGGCGUUGCUGAACAUACCAGCACCUACCCAUCCCCUGCACCCACAGGAGGAGGCAGGACUCACCUCAGAGAGAAUCUUGGAAUUCAUGUCAAUUUUAUCUAUUCUUUAGAAAGAGCAAGCAGGCAGCGGUGAGGAGGAUGGAUUGAAAGCUGAGAGACUGAAGGCAGCAUUUGUAGAGGAGUUAAGCCUAAAGCUGCAGAUGAAAAUUUUGCCACCAUGAAGAAAAGAAGAAAUCAGAAUUGGAUUCUUUCUGAACUUUUCCUUUACAGUAGCCAGUAUAUGCCCUUUCCUACUUGAGCAAGUAUAAACUGGGUUUCUGUGAUUUGCAACCAAGUGUCCUGACAAACACAAGGAUGAAAGACAACUGUGUCUCAAUAAAGGAAAAAUAGUUUAUUUUUAUGAGUGGUGGAUUUAAAAAACCUACAUUACUGUGACAAGAGUACCUUAAAACAUUUAAGUCUACAAAAGGCACUUAGGGACUUUAUAGCAAACUCUACACUUAUAAUGAAAAGCCAGACCAGAUCAUUUUAAAAAAACGUUACUGCACGAGAUAAUGGCACAUCCACUCGUUCAAUUAACAUUUAUUGAGUGUCUUCAGGGGUUUUAGACUUGUGCAAUAAAAAUGAUAAAAACGUAUUCUUUGGUUUGAGCUGGUCCAUCCAAGGUCGUUCCAUAAAGAGCAGCUGUGUAUGCUGUUCAGACUAAUUGUGUGAAGCUGGAGAGGCCAGGUGUUUCUGUCUGGCCCAGCAGCUGCACUUUGCGGUAAGGGCACCACCUGAAUUUCAGUCUGGCCAUAAAAUGAGGCUGAAGAAACAGCACCUUGCAUGAGCUUUUAGGUGAAAGGCAGAACAG
rnacentral:lncRNA from 1 species